rnacentral:rRNA from 1 species
UGGGGAAUAUUGCACAAUGGGGGAAACCCUGAUGCAGCAACGCCGCGUGAAGGAAGACGGUUUUCGGAUUGUAAACUUCUGUUCUUAGUGAAGAAUAAUGACGGUAGCUAAGGAGCAAGCCACGGCUAACUACGUGCCAGCAGCCGCGGUAAUACGUAGGUGGCAAGCGUUAUCCGGAUUUACUGGGUGUAAAGGGCGCGUAGGCGGGGAUACAAGUCAGAUGUGAAAUCUAUGGACUUAACCCAUAAACUGCAUUUGAAACUGUAUCUCUUGAGUGUCGGAGAGGUAGACGGAAUUCCUAGUGUAGCGGUGAAAUGCGUAGAUAUUAGGAGGAACACCAGUGGCGAAGGCGGUCUACUGGACGAUAACUGACGCUGAGGCGCGAAAGCGUGGGGAGCAAACAGGAUUAGAUACCCUGGUAGU